rnacentral:rRNA from 1 species
CGUACAGAACCUUCCUUUAAGCGGGGGAUAGCCCAUAGAAAUGUGGAUUAAUACCCCAUAGUAAUAUUGUCUGGCAUCAGAUGUUAUUUAAAGAUUUAUCACUUAAAGAUGGCUGUGCGGCUGAUUAGGUAGUUGGUGUGGGUAACGGCCCACCAAGCCAGCGAUCAGUAACUGGUGUGAGAGCACGACCAGUCACACGGGCACUGAGACACGGGCCCG